rnacentral:rRNA from 1 species
GAUGAACGCUGGCGGCGUGCCUAAUACAUGCCAGUCGAGCGAACGGACGAGAAGCUUGCUUCUCUGAUGUUAGCGGCGGACGGGUGAGUAACACGUGGAUAACCUACCUAUAAGACUGGGAUAACUUCGGGAAACCGGAGCUAAUACCGGAUAAUAUUUUGAACCGCAUGGUUCAAAAGUGAAAGACGGUCUUGCUGUCACUUAUAGAUGGAUCCGCGCUGCAUUAGCUAGUUGGUAAGGUAACGGCUUACCAAGGCAACGAUGCAUAGCCGACCUGAGAGGGUGAUCGGCCACACUGGAACUGAGACACGGUCCAGACUCCUACGGGAGGCAGCAGUAGGGAAUCUUCCGCAAUGGGCGAAAGCCUGACGGAGCAACGCCGCGGGAGUGAUGAAGGUCUUCGGAUCGUAAAACUCUGUUAUUAGGGAAGAACAUAUGUGUAAGUAACUGUGCACAUCUUGACGGUACCUAAGCAGAAAGCCACGGCUAACUACGU